CCUCUGCUGGAUGAAGGCAAAACUACACUGAAAUAAGGUUUAAACAAAUGUUUUCAAUUAAUCCAAUGGAAGCAAUUUUAAUCUAAUAAACCAUUAUUCAACAAUUAAUCACAAGUCGAUUAAUUAACAUCCCUAGUUUUGGAGAAUCAUCAUGUUUGACUGAAGUGGUACUAGUGGUAUGACAAAAUGACUCGGGGUACACAAGUGUAAAAAGGUUGGGAACCACUGUUCUAGGURAUCAGAGAUUGAAGCAGGGGGGCUACAAUAAAGAAUGGGAACGUACGUCACGACGCAUUGCAUGCUGGGUAACGACCACCAUGUUUUAGGACACUCUUUUUCAAAACAGUAAUUGACGUUUCAUGCCAACCAAAAUCAACAAGAAGAAAAAGAACAAUGUUGGACCGUGAGAAGCUCAAGAGAAAGAUACCUUACUGCGACCAGCUUAACAAAGAAGYGAAGUAGUGCUAUCUUUAAAAAAAUUGAAGCAAAGUUGGGCUAGCUUAUCCCUACGAUCGGUCAGUGGAUCAUGGAUCCUGAUGAGCUACCACAGCUUAUGUUUCCCGACAUAGCUAGCUACCUUGUUUGUGGUGUGAGUGCAUACAUAUGUGAGCAGUUCAAAAAUUAUAACCCUCUGGAGGCUCAUCUGCAGUUCACAAACUGGAUGUAUGCAGGACCUGCAGAGAUUAGAGUCAACGACCACAAAACUGCUGUUUUUACGAAGAUUCCUCACUCUCAGCGCCUGAAUGAACCACCGCUCCAAACAUGGGUGAUUCUGUUCCAGAGGCCAAGUGGACUGUGCACACUGCAUGUCUUGCACACGUUUGUGCUCURAUGUUUAAAAUUAAAGUUGUUGUUCAGAUACAAGGGGACCAAAACAGUCAGUGAUGCUCCAGCAUGUUGGUUGAUGCUGAAUUCAGCUUUUCCAUUUAAAGCUUGCAUCCACAGAAAAAAAUUAAACUUUUUUUUUCUGGUAUUACAAACAUAUUGUUCCAGAAUUCUAAAUUUAAUCUCACAAUUUUGAAAGUCUGUUUUUUCCUUUAAGUUUUAUUUUUCCUCGUUUGCAUCACAAAAAUGUUUGCAAUAUUUUUGUUUACUUACUUGUUUACAGAAAUUGUGCAUAUUUCAGAUUAAACUGCCACUCUUAUCGAUUUUAUUAGAACAUUAUUCAUGUGAAAUAUCGGCAGUACAUUUUCAGUUUAAAUUGUAAUAAGUUUGUAUUUAAAUAGCAUUUUAUUUGCUCACAGUGGCAUUUGACAUGUUUAACCUGUUUUAUUCACAGUUCACUGUAACCUUGACAUGUUUUAUAUGUCAUGGCAAUGUUCAACAUUUUUCCCACAAAUAAAGAGACUGAAAACUGU